ACUUUUAAAGGAUGGAAGUUAUCCGUUGGUCUUAGGAACCGAAAAAUUGGUGCAACUCCAAAUAAAAGUA
rnacentral:tRNA from 1 species